rnacentral:rRNA from 1 species
UACGAAGGGGGCUAGCGUUGUUCGGAUUUACUGGGCGUAAAGCGCACGUAGGCGGAUCGUUAAGUCGGGGGUGAAAUCCUGGAGCUCAACUCCAGAACUGCCUUCGAUACUGGCGAUCUAGAGUCCGGAAGAGGUGAGUGGAACUCCUAGUGUAGAGGUGGAAUUCGUAGAUAUUAGGAAGAACACCAGUGGCGAAGGCGGCUCACUGGACCGGUACUGACGCUGAGGUGCGAAAGCGUGGGGAGCAAACAGG